UACAGAGGUCCCAAGCGUUGUUCGGAUUCACUGGGCGUAAAGGGUGCGUAGGUGGCCAGGUAAGUCGGAUGUGAAAGCUCGGAGCUCAACUCCGAAAUGGCAUUGGAAACUGCCUGGCUCGAGGGUUGGAGGGGGGACUGGAACACUUGGUGUAGCAGUGAAAUGCGUAGAUAUCAAGUGGAACACCAGUGGCGAAGGCGAGUCCCUAGACAACUCCUGACACUGAGGCACGAAAGCUAGGGGAGCAAACAGG
rnacentral:rRNA from 1 species